rnacentral:rRNA from 1 species
UAAGGUUAAGUUAAUAAGGGCGCACGGUGGAUGCCUUGGCACUAGGAGCCGACGAAGGACGUGACAAACGACGAUAUGCCUUGGGUAGCUGUAAGUAAGCGAUGAUCCAGGGAUUUCCGAAUGGGGGAACCCAACAGGUAAUACCUGUUACCUACAUCUGUUAAGGAUGUGAGGAGGAAGACGCAGUGAACUGAAACAUCUAAGUAGCUGCAGGAAGAGAAAGCAAAAGCGAUUGCCUUAGUAGCGGCGAGCGAAACGGCAGAAGGGCAAACCGAAGAGUUUACUCUUCGGGGUUGUAGGACUGCAAUGUGGACUCAAAGAUUAUAGAAGAAUGAUUUGGGAAGAUCAGCCAAAGAGAGUAAUAGCCUCGUAUUUAAAAUAGUCUUUGUACUUAGCAGUAUCCUGAGUACGGCGGGACACGUGAAAUCCCGUCGGAAUCUGGGAGGACCAUCUCCCAACCCUAAAUACUCCCUAGUGACCGAUAGUGAACCAGUACCGUGAGGGAAAGGUGAAAAGCACCCCGGGAGGGGAGUGAAAUAGAACCUGAAACCGUGUGCCUACAACAAGUUCGAGCCCGUUAAUGGGUGAGAGCGUGCCUUUUGUAGAAUGAACCGGCGAGUUACGUUAUGAUGCGAGGUUAAGUUGAAGAGACGGAGCCGUAGGGAAACCGAGUCUGAAUAGGGCGCCUUAGUAUCAUGACGUAGACCCGAAACCAUGUGACCUACCCAUGAGCAGGUUGAAGGUGCGGUAAGACGCACUGGAGGACCGAACCAGGGCACGUUGAAAAGUGCUUGGAUGACUUGUGGGUAGCGGAGAAAUUCCAAACGAACUUGGAGAUAGCUGGUUCUCUCCGAAAUAGCUUUAGGGCUAGCGUCGACAUUAGAGAUUCUUGGAGGUAGAGCACUGUUUGGGUGAGGGGUCCAUCCCGGAUUACCAAUCUCAGAUAAACUCCGAAUGCCAAUGAAUUAUGGUCGGCAGUCAGACUGCGAGUGCUAAGAUCCGUAGUCGAAAGGGAAACAGCCCAGACCACCAGCUAAGGUCCAAAAUAAUUGUUAAGUGGAAAAGGAUGUGGGGUUGCACAGACAACUAGGAUGUUAGCUUAGAAGCAGCUAUUCAUUCAAAGAGUGCGUAAUAGCUCACUAGUCGAGUGACCCUGCGCCGAAAAUGUACCGGGGCUAAAACAAUUUACCGAAGCUGUGGAUACCUUUAUAGGUAUGGUAGGAGAGCGUUCUAUGUGUGAUGAAGGUAUACCGUGAGGAGUGCUGGAACGCAUAGAAGUGAGAAUGCCGGUAUGAGUAGCGAAAGACAGGUGAGAAUCCUGUCCACCGUAAGACUAAGGUUUCCAGGGGAAGGCUCGUCCGCCCUGGGUUAGUCGGGACCUAAGGAGAGACCGAAAGGUGUAUCCGAUGGACAACAGGUUGAUAUUCCUGUACUAGAGUAUGUAGUGAUGGAGGGACGCAGUAGGCUAACUAAAGCAGACGAUUGGAAGAGUCUGUCUAAGCAGUGAGGUGUGAAUUGAGUCAAAUGCUUAAUUCUAUAACAUUGAGCUGUGAUGGGGAGCGAAGUUUAGUAGCGAAGUUAGUGACGUCACACUGCCAAGAAAAGCUUCUAGCGUUUAAACAUACUCUACCCGUACCGCAAACCGACACAGGUAGUCGAGGCGAGUAGCCUCAGGUGAGCGAGAGAACUCUCGUUAAGGAACUCGGCAAAAUGACCCCGUAACUUCGGGAGAAGGGGUGCUGACUUAAAGUCAGCCGCAGUGAAUAGGCCCAAGCAACUGUUUAUCAAAAACACAGCUCUCUGCUAAAUCGUAAGAUGAUGUAUAGGGGGUGACGCCUGCCCGGUGCUGGAAGGUUAAGAGGAGUGCUUAGCGUAAGCGAAGGUAUGAAUUGAAGCCCCAGUAAACGGCGGCCGUAACUAUAACGGUCCUAAGGUAGCGAAAUUCCUUGUCGGGUAAGUUCCGACCCGCACGAAAGGCGUAAUGAUUUGGGCACUGUCUCAACGAGAGACUCGGUGAAAUUUUAGUACCUUGUGAAGAUGCAGGUUACCCGCGACAGGACGGAAAGACCCCAUGGAGCUUUACUGCAGUUUGAUAUUGAGUGUCUGUACCACAUGUACAGGAUAGGUAGGAGUCUAAGAGAUCGGGACGCCAGUUUCGAAGGAGACGCUGUUGGGAUACUACCCUUGUGUUAUGGCCACUCUAACCCAGAUAGGUGAUCCCUAUCGGAGAACAGUGUCCUGACGGGCAGUUUGACUGGGGCGGUCGCCUCCUAAAAGGUAACGGAGGCGCCCAAAGGUUCCCUCAGAAUGGUUGGAAAUCAUUCGCAGAGUGUAAAGGUAUAAGGGAGCUUGACUGCGAGAGCUACAACUCGAGCAGGGACGAAAGUCGGGCUUAGUGAUCCGUGGUUCCGUAUGGAAGGGCCAUCGCUCAACGGAUAAAAGCUACCCUGGGGAUAACAGGCUUAUCUCCCCCAAGAGUUCACAUCGACGGG